AUGGGGAUCAAGUGGGUUGCCAGGGAACCUUUACCCACUUGGAAUUAGACAGGAGCUUAGGCAACUGAAGGCAUGUGACCUCUGUCAAGAUCCCUCGUACCCACAUUAAGCCAUGCAAAGAACACUGGUAAAGCACAGGUGCCCUUGGCCAUCCCUCACUCAGAACAACACUUCACAUUCCCCUCCAUCUUCCACUUGUGUUGGUGAUGGAAGAGACAACCAGAGGUCUACCAAGUGUAUUUUCUUUUACUUCUACCAUAAUAGAGCUGUGGUUGGACAUGUGGUCAUCUGUCCAGGUCUUGAAUUUCCAUUGCCCUUUGCUAUACGGGAUGGCUGUUAGGCCAAGUUUUUACCGAUAGGUUAAGAGUGAACAUCAUGCAUGCAGUCUAGAAGUUAGGAGCCUUAAGGUGGUGAGUGGACCUCUUCCACAUUUUCACCUUUUCUUCAAGACCAGUUGGGAACUGGCUGCAGCAGUGACCUUAGCCUGGACCAUGGUCCAACUCCUGGACCAUGACAGAGCAAGAAUAGGAAACGAACCUGGGACCUGAAUAACCGUGGAACAGCCACUGUAUCCUCUGAGGAGAGCCAGCGAGGUUCACUCGGAGUAACUUGCUUCACUCUACUCAUUAUACCGAAGGCUUGUAGGCUGCCGACACAGACCAGGUUGCCACAUGACCUUGGGUGAUCAAGAAGGCAAGCUUUAACGCAUCAGCGAGUCUGUUUACUUUGUUAAGAAUCAACUGUGCACUCUCCAGAGCUGCAGCCCUACUGCCACAGCCAGGGACAAGCAAUUCGUCUGCUUUUGCAUUCCCAGAGGAUUUUCAGCACAAACAGGAGGAGUAAAUGUACCCAUCCCUCCCCACUCUAAUAGGUCUCCUCUUUUCCAGAAUUAUUUAAUGAAUUACAUAUGACACACUGAAACUGUCCACCACGUAUGUGUUGGUUUGCUGGGACGGACACACAGGGCCACCAUCAUCACCUGGAACCAGAGAGGGCAACCACACAGAGAGGAAGGUGCCAUGUGGACAGGAAGGCCAGAGGACUCAGAGCGCAGGACCGGGGCCUCGGAAGGGGAACGCCCUUUCUCAACAGAAAGAAAAAACUGGACUCGUCUCCUUUGCCAUCCCCUUCUCUGUCUCUUCCUCUGGUUGAUGUCCAACCAUUUAAUGGACCUACUGUUUCAGUGACAGAGAGCUGGGUUCAAUUCCCAUCUCCUCUACGGAACCUUCCUCAUCUCCACGAAGCCAGACAUGACACAUGGGUCAAGAAAUCUAAUCUUCUGCAGCUAGCUACAAAUUUAAGUGAUAAAGAAAGUUUGAGAGCAUCAUUUCUACUAUCUUACUCAACCCUACUUCUGUUAAUGAUGAGUCACUGAAGUGCCAAGAAUAG
rnacentral:lncRNA from 1 species